rnacentral:snoRNA from 12 species
AAAGCAGGUUGCAAUUACAGUGCUUCAUUUUGUGGAAGUACUGCCAUUAUCCUGCUGAAAGAAAAGCUGUGUUGAUCGUUAUUGAUUUUGCCCAUAUGGGGGUAAAAUCAGGACAGAUUGGCAUGGACAAUU